rnacentral:rRNA from 1 species
GGGUCUGCCCAUUGGUCAGGCUUAAUUGUCUGCACUGGUAGGAUGGAUCUCUACCUUCUGAGGAACUUUCAUGCCAUUUAUUUGGUGUGAUUGGAAAUCAGAACUGUUACUUUGAAAAAAUUAGAGUGUUUAAAGCAGACUAUCGUCUGAAUACAUUAGCAUGGAAUAAUGAAAUAGGACGGACUGAUUCUAUUUCGUUGGUUUCUAGGAUUGACGUA